GAAUGGCUCAUUAAAUCAGUUAUCGUUUAUUUGAUAGUACCUUAACUACUUGGAAUAACCGUGGUAAUUCUAGAGCUAAUACAUGCUAAAAAAUCCCGACCUCUGGAAGGGGUGUAUUUAUUAGAUAAAAAAUCUAUGCUUCGGCUUCUUAGAUGAUUCAUAAUAACUUUUCGAACCGCAUGGCCUUGUGCUGGCGGUGGUUCAUUCAAAUUUCUGCCCUAUCAACUUUCGAUGGUAGGAUAGUGGCCUACCAUCCUUUCAACGGGUAACGGGGAAUAAGGGUUCGAUUCCGGAGAGGGAGCCUGAGAAACGGCUACCACAUCCAAGGAAGGCAGCAGGCGCGCAAAUUACCCAAUCCCGACACAGGGGAGGUAGUGACAAUAAAUAACGAUACAGGGCCCUUUCGGGUCUUGUAAUUGGAAUGAGUACAAUGUAAAUACCUUAACGAGGAACAAUUGGAGGGCAAGUCUGGUGCCAGCAGCCGCGGUAAUUCCAGCUCCAAGAGCGUAUCUUAAAAUUGUUGCAGUUAAAAAGCUCGUAGUUGAACCUUGGGUCUGGCUGGCCGGUCCGCUUUUUUGCGAGUACUGGACCCAGCCGGGCCUUUCCUUCUGGCUAGCCUUUUGGCGAACCAGGACUUUUACUUUGAAAAUUAGAGUGUUCAAAGCAGGCACUUUGCUCGAAUAUAUUAGCAUGGAAUAAUAGAAUAGGACGUCAUGGUUCUAUUUUGUUGGUUUCUAGGACCAUCGUAAUGAUUAAUAGGACGGCGGGGGCAUCAGUAUUCAGCUGUCAGAGGUGAAANUCUUGGAUUACCUGAAGACUAACUACUGCGAAAGCAUUUGCCAAGGCGUUUACAUUAAUCAANNNCGAAAGUUAGGGGAUCGAAGAUGAUCAGAUACCGUCGUAGUCUUAACCAUAAACUAUGCCGACUAGGGAUCGGGCAAUCGUUCAUUUAUGACGUGCUCGGCACCUUACGAGAAAUCAAAGUCUUUGGGUUC
rnacentral:rRNA from 1 species